AAACAUAGCCUUUAGCAAACCAAGUAUUAAAGGUGACGCCUGCCCAGUGAAACUUAAACGGCCGCGGUAUCCCUAACCGUGCAAAGGUAGCGUAAUCACUUGUCCUUCUAAAUAAAGACCUGUAUGAAUGGCUAAAUUGAGUAUUUAACUGUCUCCUUUGACUAAUCAGUGAAACUGAUCUUUUAGUACAAAAGCUAAAAUAUUACCAUAAGACGAGAAGACCCUGUGGAGCUUUAAAUUUUUAUCAAAACACUCCCAUUAAAACGUGUUUAUGUUAAAAAAUUUUUAAGUUGGGGCGACUUUGGAGCAAAACAAAACCUCCAAGAAUCAAGGCACUGCCUAAACAAAGACCCACAAGUCAAAUUUAAAAGACCCAGUAUCACUGAUCAACGAACCAAGUUACCCCAGGGAUAACAGCGCCAUCUUCUUCAAGAGUUCAUAUCGACAAGAAGGCUUACGACCUCGAUGUUGGAUCAGGACACCCAAAUGGUGCAGCCGCUAUUAAAGGUUCGUUUGUUCAACGAUUAAUAGUCCUACGUGA
rnacentral:rRNA from 1 species